AUUGAACGCUGGCGGCAUGCCUUACACAUGCAAGUCGAACGGCAGCACGGGUGCUUGCACCUGGUGGCGAGUGGCGAACGGGUGAGUAAUACAUCGGCACAUGUCCUGUAGUGGGGGAUAGCCCGGCGAAAGCCGGAUUAAUACCGCAUACGAUCUACGGAUGACAGCGGGGGACCUUCGGGCCUCGCGCUAUAGGGUUGGCCGAUGGCUGAUUAGCUAGUUGGUGGGGUAAAGGCCUACCAAGGCGACGAUCAGUAGCUGGUCUGAGAGGACGACCAGCCACACUGGGACUGAGACACGGCCCAGACUCCUACGGGAGGCAGCAGUGGGGAAUUUUGGACAAUGGGCGAAAGCCUGAUCCAGCAAUGCCGCGUGUGUGAAGAAGGCCUUCGGGUUGUAAAGCACUUUUGUCCGGAAAGAAAUCCUUGGCCCUAAUACGGUCGGGGGAUGACGGUACCGGAAGAAUAAGCACCGGCUAACUACGUG
rnacentral:rRNA from 1 species